rnacentral:rRNA from 1 species
GACGAACGCUGGCGGUGUGCUUAACACAUGCAAGUCGAACGGUAAGGCCCUUUCGGGGGUACACGAGUGGCGAACGGGUGAGUAACACGUGAGUAACCUGCCCUCAUCUCUGGGAUAACAGUCGGAAACGGUUGCUAAUACUGGCUAUGAGCUUGCAAGGCAUCUUGUGGGUUGGAAAGAUUUUUUUGGUUGGGGAUGGACUCGCGGCCUAUCAGCUUGUUGGUGAGGUAGUGGCUCACCAAGGCUUCGACGGGUAGCCGGCCUGAGAGGGCGACCGGCCACAUUGGGACUGAGAUACGGCCCAAACUCCUACGGGAGGCAGCAGUGGGGAAUAUUGCACAAUGGACGGAAGGCUGAUGCAGCAACGCCGCGUGCGGGAUGACGGCCUUCGGGUUGUAAACCGCUUUCAAUUGUGACGAAGCUUUUUGUGACGGUAGCAGUAGAAGAAGCACCGGCUAACUACGUG